GUUCGGACUGCAGGCUGCAACUCGCCUGCACGAAGUUGGAAUUGCUAGUAAUCGUGGAUCAGCAUGCCACGGUGAAUACGUUCCCGGGUCUUGUACACACCGCCCGUCACACCAUGGGAGCCGGUAAUACCCGAAGUCAGUAGUCUAACCGCAAGGAGGACGCUGCCGAAGGUAGGAUUCGGCGACUGGGGUGAAGUCGUAACAAGGUACC
rnacentral:rRNA from 1 species